GCCUUCGUGGUGUAGCGGUAGCACUCUGGGCUGGUAUUCCAGAGGUCCGUGGUUCGAUUCCCGGCGAAGGCG
rnacentral:tRNA from 1 species